CUCGUCCUCUGUUGCCAGCGAGUUAUGUCGGGGACUCAUAGGAGACUGCCGGGGUCAACUCGGAGGAAGGUGGGGAUGACGUCAAGUCAUCAUGCCCCUUACGUCCUGGGCUGCACACAUGCUACAAUGGCCGGUACAAAGGGCUGGGAUACCGCGAGGUGGAGCGAAUCCCAAAAAGCCGGUCUCAGUUCGGAUCGGGGUCUGCAACUCGACCCCGUGAAGUCGGAGUCGCUAGUAAUCGCAGAUCAGCAAUGCUGCGGUGAAUACGUUCCCGGGCCUUGUACACACCGCCCGUCACGUCACGAAAGUCGGUAACACCCGAAGCCGGUGGCCUAACCCUUGUGGGAGGAGCCGUCGAAGGUGGGACCGGCGAUUGGGACGAAGUCGUAACAAGGUAGCCGUACCGGAAGGUGCGGCUGGAUCACCUCCUUUCUAAGGAGCGUCUGGCUGGUCUCUCCUGUUGGGGGGUGGGCUGGUCCAGGGCCAGGGCCGGAUGUGUGUCCCGGUCUGGUUGCUCAUGGGUGGAACACUAACGUUGCGGUCUGCCGGUUCUGCCGGUCUCCUAGUACAACUGCCUUAGGGUGGUGGGAACGGGGGCUGGUGGGGUGCGGGGCCUUCUGGCACGCUGUUGGGUCCUGAGGGAGUGAGCGAUCGUUUCUUCGGUGACUACGGAGCCUUCUGACCCUUGUGGGGUCGGGGGGCUUCGGUCGCGGUCGGACGCUUAACGCCGCGGUCCUGCCAGGGCGUCUGCUUCCCGUGUGGGGGUGGGUUCUGCCGGGUCGCCUGGGGCCGUCCGUACGUUGAGAACUGCACAGUGGACGCGAGCAUCUUUGUGGCCAAGUUAGUAAGGGCGC
rnacentral:sRNA from 1 species